CCAUUGCUUCUCUUGUCCUUCACCCAUCUUGAUAUGUUGGUUUCUCCAUUAUACCCUCCCUCAGCCGAUUUUCCCUCUUUUUUAGUUGAAUGCUGAUGCCAAAUCCCCCAUACAAAGAAGAGAUUCCGAUCAAUACUGAUUAUAUUUUCCCUCUUCAACAACAGAACAUCGAUUCCUCUGCAACCCUAUUUGCAAUUCGCUCGCUCGGAUUUUCGUCAUCAAAUAUGCAAUUAGGGUUUACUCUCAACCAACCAGAGGGUGUCGCACUUACUCAGACCACCGUCGCACUUUUCCACCGGAGACACCACCGAUCUCUUACAGACCCCGUCGCAGCCAUGGACACUGAAAGGGAUAGCAAGAAGGGAACACCUGACCGCCACCAUACCAAAAUGAGAAUGCCCAGACCUGAUGAUUUCUUAUUCUGGGGGAAGCGGAAAAAUCAAAACAUGUCGGUUAAGGAUGCUGGUGUCAUUUCUUAUGCAUUGUCCAGCAUGCAGAAGUUUACCAAUGAUGGGAGUUUUAUGCAACAGUUUAAGUCUCAGCAGCAGCAGCAAGAAAAGCAAAAUGAUGACUCAUGUACAGAUCGUAACACGCACAUAAUGCCUGAUGUAUCCAAAUCUAAAGAGCCGUUAUCAAGUACAGCAGACGUAAAGCCUGCACUCAGUGCAAAUCAGUUGGCUGCUAAAGCUAUGCAGCUGCGUUUGAAAGGAAAGCAUGAUGAAGCUGACAAACUUCUGAAACGCAAAGCAGAUACCACCAACAGAACGAUUUCAGAGGGUGAUGUAACCACAAGCAGGUAUAUAAUGCACGGCUUAAAAACACGUGAAAAGAAGAAAGAGGAAGACGCGGACAUGCAUGUAGCACGUUCAAUAAUGCAAAACAGAAAGUUUAGUAUAUCUGGUCAGGCGGAUGAUGAAUAUGAUUAUGAUGACGGACCUAAGAAAAAGAAACGAGGUAAAGGCGACAAUGGUGCUCCUAAGUCAACCGGAAAUACCCGUUUUGAAAAAGGCAUAUUAACCCAGAAAGAACGCUGCAACUUUUGUUUUGAAAAUCCUAAGAGGCCACGUCAUCUAGUUGUAGCAAUCGCCAAUUUCACAUAUUUAAUGUUACCUCCGUGGCAGCCUGUUGUACCAGGACAUUGUUGCAUAUUGCCCAUGCAGCAUGAGUUGGCAACGAGAAGUGUGGAUGAUAACGUGUGGGACGAGAUACGCAACUUCAAGAAGUGUCUUCUAAUGAUGUUUGCGAAACAAGAGAAGGAGGUCGUAUUUCUUGAAACGGUGAUGGGGCUCGCAAAGCAGAGCCGACAUUGUAUGAUAGAAUGCAUACCUUUGCCUCCAGAUGGUGGUAAACAGGCCGCUCUUUAUUUUAAGAAGGCAAUUGAUGAAGCCGAAGAUGAAUGGAGCCAACACAAUGCCAAGAAAUUAAUCGACACAAGUGUAAAAGGGUUGCGACACUCGAUACCAGAAGACUUUCCAUACUUCCAUGUGGAGUUUGGUUUGAAGAAAGGGUUUGUUCACGUUAUCGAUGAUGAAUCGCAGUUCAAGAGCAAUUUUGGUGUGAAUGUUAUAAGGGGUAUGCUUCAGUUGCCUGCAGAAGACAUGCACCGACGCAACAAAUACGACUCUAUCGACACCCAGAAAGAAGCUGUCGCGAAUUUUACUCGAGAUUGGGAGCCUUUUGACUGGACCAAGCAACUCGAUUAACGUUGAUUGGAGACUUGGUUCGGCUGUCGGAAUCUUCAAACCAAGGUAUGACAAGUAAGGAUCAUCUCGGUUGGGAUCUCUGGCCAUGAACCCUGAGGUACUUCUCAACUCGCGAGCGAGGAUUGGUUGGCGCUCGGUUUUCACUUUGAUCAACUUAUCUCGCGCCUAAAAUGCGCAUGUUUGCUCUCAGAGGCUAUGUAGGAUGUGCUCUCAAUAGGAUGUCCACAACAAGUUGUUGUCAACUGUAAGGUGGGAGGCUUCUCUCAUGGCAAAGUAAGAAGUAUACAAUAGUAUCAACCUCAAGUGUCGAAGUUGAGUACAUUACCGGAGGGAGUUGCUAUGCACAAAUGUUAUGGAUGCAUAAUGAGCUAAGAGAUAUGGAAUUGAGUUUUAUAGUAUCCCAAUCAUGGUGGACAACACAAGUGCAAUCUCCAUCAUAAAGAACUAUGUCCAACACUCCAAGACCAAACAUAUCUCCAUCAUAAAGAACUAUGUUCCAACACUCCAAGACCAAACAUAUUGACAUCAUGUAUGACUGUUGUAAUAGAUGUUGAACAAAGUGAAAUUGAGUAUCAUUUUAGUCC